rnacentral:rRNA from 1 species
GGACUCGGGGGGAAGUAUGCUCGCAAGAGUGAAACUUAAAGGAAUUGACGGGGAGGAACCACAAUGUGUGGAGCCUGCGGCUUAAUUUAACUCAACACAGGAAAACUUACCAGGUCCAGACAUAGUAAGGAUUGACAGAUUGCAGUUCUUUCUUGAUUCUAUGAAUGGUGGUGCAUGGCCGUUCUUAGUUGGUGGAGUGAUUUGUCUGGUUAAUUCCGAUAACGAACGAGAUCUCAGCCGUCCAAAUAGCCGUAACUUGAUCUCGCGGCUUGCCGCAUAGUCAAGUUCUUACCUCUGGUGCAUGUAAUUUUGGCUUCUUUGAGGGACAACCUGUUUCCAGCAGGUGGAAGUUUGAGGCUAUAACAGGUCUGUGAUGCCCUUAGAUGAUCUGGGCUGCACGCGCGCUACAUUGGUGCAUUCAGAAAGUUCCUUGCUCGUGAGAGCUAGGUAAUCAAUAAAAUGCAUCCAAGUCGGGACAGGCGAUUGCAAUUUUUCGCCUCGAACAAGGAAUAUAUAGUAAACGCAAGUCAUCAACUUGCAUUGACUGCGUCCCUGCCUCUUGUACACACCGCCCGUCGCUUCUACCGAUUGAAUAAUAAGGUGAACUGUGUGGAUGGGCGCUAGCGCCUAGAAGCAUUGUAAACCUUAUUAUUUAGAGGAAGGAGAAGUCGUAACAAGG